CCUACGGGCGGCAGCAGUGGGGAAUAUUGCACAAUGGGGGAAACCCUGAUGCAGCGACGCCGCGUGAGUGAAGCAGUAAUUCGUUAUGUAAAGCUCUAUCAGCAAGGAAGAAAAUGACGGUACCUGAGUAAGAAGCCCCGGCUAACUACGUGCCAGCAGCCGCGGUAAUACGUAGGGGGCAAGCGUUAUCCGGAUUUACUGGGUGUAAAGGGAGCGUAGACGGCAGUGCAAGUCUGGAGUGAAAGGGGGGGGCUCAACCCCCGGACUGCUCUGGAAACUGUACGGAUGGAGUGCAGGAGAGGUAAGUGGAAUUCCUAGUGUAGCGGUGAAAUGCGUAGAUAUUAGGAGGAACACCAGUGGCGAAGGCGGCUUACUGGACUGUAACUGACGUUGAGGCUCGAAAGCGUGGGGAGCAAACAGGAUUAGAUACCCUAGUAGUC
rnacentral:rRNA from 1 species